UCCCUUUGUUGCUCAAGGAGAUGCAAUGAUAAUAGAUGUUGCAUGCAUCUUGUUCAGAGUUUAAUAAAGAGUUAAACGUAGAAAUUUCAUCUGUUAAAUUACUAUGUUUUAGUUCUUUAAACUCAAAUACCAUCUAAUCAUCAACUUGCAAAAAUUGAAUUGAGGUAAAGGAAGGAUGACAAGAAUUCUGCUCCUGUUGAAGAUGCAACCUCCACAAAAAGAAAACCAUGUAGUAAAGAAUUUGAUGUGGAUUCACUCAACAAAAUGUUAAGAGAUUUUUAUUUGGCCAAAGAGCUAGCUAUUAAAGAUAUUUUCCAGUCAUCAGCCUAAAUAGAAAGUUGUCAUCUGCUGCCAG